GUCUAUGGCCAUGCUACCCUGAACAAGCCUGAUCCCGUCUGAUCUCAAAAGCUAAGCAGGGUCGAGCCUGGUUAGUACUUGAAUGGGAGAUCACCUAGGAAGACCAGACACUGUAGGCA
rnacentral:rRNA from 1 species